rnacentral:rRNA from 1 species
CAGCAGCCGCGGUAAUACGUAGGUCCCGAGCGUUGUCCGGAUUUAUUGGGCGUAAAGCGAGCGCAGGCGGUUAGAUAAGUCUGAAGUUAAAGGCUGUGGCUUAACCAUAGUACGCUUUGGAAACUGUUUAGCUUGAGUGCAAGAGGGGAGAGUGGAAUUCCAUGUGUAGCGGUGAAAUGCGUAGAUAUAUGGAGGAACACCGGUGGCGAAAGCGGCUCUCUGGCUUGUAACUGACGCUGAGGCUCGAAAGCGUGGGGAGCAAACAGGAUUAGAUACCCCAGUAGUCCCUGUCUCUUAUACA